rnacentral:rRNA from 1 species
AGUGAACGCUGGCGGUAGGCCUAACACAUGCAAGUCGAACGGCAGCACAGUAAGAGCUUGCUCUUACGGGUGGCGAGUGGCGGACGGGUGAGGAAUACAUCGGAAUCUACUUUUUCGUGGGGGAUGACGUAGGGAAACUUACGCUAAUACCGCAUACGACCUUCGGGUGAAAGCAGGGGAUCUUCGGACCUUGCGCGAUUGAAUGAGCCGAUGUCGGAUUAGCUAGUUGGCGGGGUAAAGGCCCACCAAGGCGACGAUCCGUAGCUGGUCUGAGAGGAUGAUCAGCCACACUGGAACUGAGACACGGUCCAGACUCCUACGGGAGGCAGCAGUGGGGAAUAUUGGACAAUGGGCGCAAGCCUGAUCCAGCCAUACCGCGUGGGUGAAGAAGGCCUUCGGGUUGUAAAGCCCUUUUGUUGGGAAAGAAAAGCAGCAGGUUAAUACCCCGCUGUUCUGACGGUACCCAAAGAAUAAGCACCGGCUAACUUCGUG